rnacentral:tRNA from 1 species
AGCGGAAUGGAGAAGAGGUAUCUCGCGGGUCUCAUACGCCCGAGUCCCUGGUUCGAUUCCAGGUUCCGCUA